AAUAUUGGACAAUGGGGGAAAGCCUGAUCCAGCCAUGCCGCGUGUGUGAAGUAGGUCUUCGGAUUGUAAAGCACUUUAAGGUGGGAGGUAGGGCAGUAAGUUAAUACCUUGCUGUUUUGACGUUACCGACAGAAUAAGCCCCGGCUAACUACGUGCCAGCAGCCGCGGUAAUACGUAGGGCACAAGCGUUGUCCGGAAUUAUUGGGCGUAAAGCGCGCGUAGGGGGUUUGUUAAGUUGGAAGUGAAAGCCCCGGGCUCAACCUGGGAACUGCUUUCAAAACUGGCAAGCUAGAGUAUGGCAGAGGGUGGUGGAAUUUCCUGUGUAGCGGUGAAAUGCGUAGAUAUAGGAAGGAACACCAGUGGCGAAGGCGACCACCUGGGCUAAUACUGACACUGAGGUGCGAAAGCGUGGGGAGCAAACAGG
rnacentral:rRNA from 1 species